GGCCCCGAGGUGGUACUACCAUGUCGAAUUGCAAAUUCGAAGAAGCAGCUUCAAUCCUGCCGGGGCUU
rnacentral:tRNA from 1 species